rnacentral:tRNA from 1 species
ACCUUCUUAGUAUAUAAAGUACGGUUAAUUUCCAAUUAAAUUGACCUAAAUGGAGAGGGUA